GGCCUGAAGGUGAGCCUCGCGCCUCCGCCCUCCCGGAGAGGCCCCCUCCCGGCGCAUCGCUCGGAACUGGGGACCGGGGCGCGGCGAUUUUCCCGCCUGUCCGGCGUGGUCCGAGGCAGGCGCGGGCGGGGUGCCCCGGCUAGCCUUUGUCGCCAGCGGGGUCUGUGGGCCGGGAGCUGACUCGUGACUGACAGCCGGCGGGGGCAGCGGCCGGGGGCGGGCUGCCCGGCGCCGGCGGCUCAUUGGCUGGCUCGAGUGUGGGAAAGAACGCGGAGAGGGAUUCCCACGCCCCGCAGCCGCGCUGCCUUAAAUAGCCGGGCUGCUGCAGACACGCGCUUGGUAGCUGAGCCUGGGACCCGCGGGAGAAGGGCCUGCCCUCGGCUGGGGGCGGCGAGGGGGCGCACCAUGCCUGCGGACAUCCCGGGGAAGCCGAGGGCCUCGCCGCGGGCGGGAGCGCCGGCCGGCGCCAGCCGGACCCCAGACCAGCCCCGGAGCGUGGCCGAGCACCGGAAGGUGGGGACCUGGCCGGGCGUGGGUUGGCAGGAGCGGGGGGGCCGCGAAGGGGAGAGGGGAGCUGACGCCUGCAGGACUCAGUGGCUGCCGGCUCCGCAGUCCUCCAAGCCCGUCAUGGAGAAGCGGCGCCGAGCGCGCAUCAACGAGAGUCUGGCUCAGCUGCAGAGCCUCCUCCUGGACGCCCUCAGGAAAGAGAGCUCCCGCCGCUCGAAGCUGGAGAAGGCGGACAUCCUGGAGCUGACCGUGAGGCACCUGCAGAGCCUGCGGCGCGUGCAGGUGACAGCUGCCCUCCGCUCGGACCCCGCCAUCCUGGGCAAGUAUCGCGCCGGCUUCCAUGAGUGUCUGGCCGAAGUGAAUCGCUUCCUGGCUGGCUGCGAGGGCGUCCCUGCGGACGUGCGGUCUCGUCUGCUCGGCCAUCUGGCAGCCUGCCUGGCCCGGCUGGGGCCCGCGCGCCGCCCGCUUCCACUGGCCCCAGCCACCGAAGCCCUGGAGCCCGAGAUCUACGCGGGCCGCCCGCCGCCGCCAGCCUUUGACGGCCAUUGCCCCUUGCCGCGCCCCGGGGCGGCCUUGGCACCCAUCUUCCUGCCCGGGUUGGCCCUCGCCGCCCCCGGGGCCGGGGCUCAGGGCCAGGGCGCGCCCUGGAGGCCGUGGCUGCGGUGAGGCCGCGGCCCUAGAACCGACUGAGACUGUGCCAGAAAAUGGUUAUUUCCAGAGAUCGGACGCUGUCGCCAAAGAGGUGUUUGUGCUGAGGCCCCUGUCAGCCCUCCAGGGACCUCUCCGGCUCUGAGGGAACCACACUGUUCCUCAGACAGGCAAGUUCUUCGUGUCUCUGUCCCUUCCCUGCCCUCUUUGGCCUUUCCCUACUCAGCCCCCUCCCUGCCCCCCGAGGUUCUCUCCCCACUUUCCCACCUGAGGCAGCCACCCCAGGCUCCAAGGGCUCUGGAGGCCAUGGCCCUGUCUGUGUCACUCACUCCUAUCCCCAGCACGUGCUUGGAACAGAAAGAUGCUCAGGCCAUACAGGCCUCAUUAAUUAGCUUGGGUGAAAGGCAUGUCACCCUUGAUUAGAUCAGGGAAGUCUGAGGAAGCACAGCUGAGGCUGGGCCCCCUCCCCAGGCUGCCCCUGGGCAGCUGAGGGCAGUAUCCUGGCGUCUGCUGGGGGUGGAGCCAUGGCCCUUUCCACACUCAGCCUGGACCCCUGCCUGGUCUGUGGAGAGCUGGGGUGGACUCUUCUUCCUCCCACCCUCCCCACUCUUCACCCAUUGCCUGUCCCUCCCCUGCCUCAGAGGGGCUCUGGGGAAUUCCUCUCUGCCGCAAACCCUCCCCCCACCCCCCAAGUAUUUGUGUUUUGGCUUUUGUC